GCAAACUUCAGUAGCUUGGUCAGUUUGGGCUAUUCUAACAAAUUACCAUAGACUGUGUGGCUUAAACAACAAACAUUUAUUUCUCACAGUUCUGGAGCUGGAAGUCCAAGAUCAGUGUUCCAGCCUGGCUGAGUUCUUAGCUGGUGAAGACUUGCUCACAGACCCCAUCAUUCCCCAGAAUAGGUUGCAAAGAUGGAAAUUCUUCUAAACUCUCUCUAGGAUUCCAUCCCUUCCUCUUGAAUUUUAUACUGCUAUCUCAGGCCCUAUCAGCUGGAAAGCUGUUAGUAAAGGAGGACUCAAAUUAACGUCCAACCACUGUCUCCAUUAUUCCCUGUAAUAUGUUCUUAUGUUUUAUCAGUCCCAAUUCUGA
rnacentral:lncRNA from 1 species